rnacentral:piRNA from 1 species
UCAGCCAAGUUUGGAUUCUUUCCAGAGUC